rnacentral:rRNA from 1 species
CCUACGGGUGGCAGCAGUGAGGAAUAUUGGUCAAUGGGCGCGAGCCUGAACCAGCCAAGUAGCGUGCAGGAUGACUGCCCUACGGGUUGUAAACUUCUUUUACACAGGAAUAAAGCGCGGCACGUGUGCAUUUCUGCAUGUACCUUGCGAAUAAGGAUCGGCUAAUUCCGUGCCAGCAGCCGCGGUAAUACGGAAGGUCCGAGCGUUAUCCGGAUUUAUUGGGUUUAAAGGGAGCGUAGGUGGGUUGUUAAGUCAGUUGUGAAAGUCUGCGGCUCAACCGCAAAAUUGCAGUUGAAACUGGAAGCCUUGAGUACAGUUGAGGUAGGCGGAAUUCGUGGUGUAGCGGUGAAAUGCAUAGAUAUCACGAGGAACUCCGAUUGCGAAGGUAGCUUACUAAGCUGCCACUGACGUUGAUGCUCGAAAGUGUGGGUAUCAAACAGGAUUAGAUACCCUAGUAGUC